rnacentral:rRNA from 1 species
GGAAUGUGAACCACCCGAACCCAUUUCGAACUCGAUUCGUGAAAUCAUUCUACAUCAUAUGUACUACUGUUUGCGGGAGACGUGAAUUAUUAUCAAGC